rnacentral:rRNA from 1 species
AUGGUGAAAUGCUUCCUGCUGCUCGCCUUCUUGGCGUUUCUCCUGCCGGCGGCCUAUGCGACGUGCCACCCUGACGACCUUCAAACGCCGCGGGGCUUCGCUGGGAAGUUGACACUACUCAGGGGCCUCACCGUUGUCGAUCGUUCACUAGGUAUUGCUUUCUCUAACUUGCUAUUUGCCAGAUCUGGAAGUGGCAACAUUGUAUCUGGGAGCGGCAACACUGUUGUAUCUGGGGACAACAACAAUGUUUCUGGGAGCAACAACACAGUCACAUCUGGGAGCAGCAAUGUCAUACUUGACACCAACCAUGUCGUAACUGGGAGCAACAAUACUGUAUCCGGCAAUAACAAUAGGGUAAAUGGGAACAAUAAUGUUGUAUCUGGGAGCAACCAAGUCGUGUUCGGGGACAACAAAGUCGUAACUGGCUAA